rnacentral:rRNA from 1 species
GAUGAACGCUGGCGGCGUGCCUAAUACAUGCAAGUCGAGCGAACGGACGAGAAGCUUGCUUCUCUGAUGUUAGCGGCGGACGGGUGAGUAACACGUGGAUAACCUACCUAUAAGACUGGGAUAACUGCGGGAAACCGGAGCUAAUACCGGAUGAGAUUUUGAACCGCAUGGUUCAAAAGUGAAAGACGGUCUUGCUGUCACUUAUAGAUGGAUCCGCGCUGCAUUAGCUAGUUGGUAAGGUAACGGCUUACCAAGGAAACGAUGCAUAGCCGACCUGAGAGAGUGAUCGGCCACACUGGAACUGAGACACGGUCCAGACUCCUACGGGAGGCAGCAGUAGGGAAUCUUCCGCAAUGGGCGAAAGCCUGACGGAGCAACGCCGCGUGAGUGAUGAAGGUCUUCGGAUCGUAAAACUCUGUUAUUAGGGAAGAACAUAUGUGUAAGUAACUGUGCACAUCUUGACGGUACCUAAUCAGAAAGCCACGGCUAACUACGUG